GAUGAACGCUAGCUACAGGCUUAACACAUGCAAGUCGAGGGGAAACGACAUCGAAAGCUUGCUUUUGAUGGGCGUCGACCGGCGCACGGGUGAGUAACGCGUAUCCAACCUGCCCACCACUUGGGGAUAACCUUGCGAAAGUAAGACUAAUACCCAAUGACGUCUCUAGAAGACAUCUGAAAGAGAUUAAAGAUUUAUCGGUGAUGGAUGGGGAUGCGUCUGAUUAGCUUGUUGGCGGGGUAACGGCCCACCAAGGCGACGAUCAGUAGGGGUUCUGAGAGGAAGGUCCCCCACAUUGGAACUGAGACACGGUCCAAACUCCUACGGGAGGCAGCAGUGAGGAAUAUUGGUCAAUGGGCGAGAGUCUGAACCAGCCAAGUAGCGUGCAGGAUGACGGCCCUAUGGGUUGUAAACUGCUUUUAUAAGGGAAUAAAGUGAGUCUCGUGAGACUUUUUGCAUGUACCUUAUGAAUAAGGACCGGCUAAUUCCGUG
rnacentral:rRNA from 1 species